rnacentral:rRNA from 1 species
AGAGUUUGAUCAUGGCUCAGAUUGAACGCUGGCGGCAUGCCUAACACAUGCAAGUCGAACGGAAACGAUGGGAGCUUGCUCCCAGGCGUCGAGUGGCGGACGGGUGAGUAAUACUUAGGAAUCUGCCCAGUAGUGGGGGACAACUCGGGGAAACUCGAGCUAAUACCGCAUACGCACUACGGUGGAAAGUGGGGGAUCUUCGGACCUCACGCUAUUGGAUGAGCCUAAGUCGGAUUAGCUUGUUGGUGGGGUAAAGGCCUACCAAGGCGACGAUCCGUAGCUGGUCUGAGAGGACGAUCAGCCACACUGGGACUGAGACACGGCCCAGACUCCUACGGGAGGCAGCAGUGGGGAAUAUUGGACAAUGGGCGCAAGCCUGAUCCAGCAAUGCCGCGUGUGUGAAGAAGGCCUGCGGGUUGUAAAGCACUUUCAGUAGAGAAGAAAAGCCUAGGGAUAAUACCCUUGGGUCUUGACGUUACCUACAGAAGAAGCACCGGCUAACUCCGUGCCAGCAGCCGCGGUAAUACGGAGGGUGCGAGCGUUAAUCGGAAUUACUGGGCGUAAAGCGCGCGUAGGUGGUUGUGCAAGUCGGAUGUGAAAGCCCAGGGCUUAACCUUGGAAUUGCAUCCGAUACUGCAUAACUAGAGUAUGGUAGAGGGAAGUGGAAUUUCCGGUGUAGCGGUGAAAUGCGUAGAUAUCGGAAGGAACACCAGUGGCGAAGGCGACUUCCUGGGCCAAUACUGACACUGAGGUGCGAAAGCGUGGGG